rnacentral:rRNA from 1 species
AUUGAACGCUGGCGGCAGGCUUAACACAUGCAAGUCGAGCGGGCGAGGUUGCUUCGGUAACUUAGCUAGCGGCGGACGGGUGAGUAAUGCUUAGGAAUCUGCCUAUUAGUGGGGGACAACAUUCCGAAAGGGAUGCUAAUACCGCAUACGUCCUACGGGAGAAAGCAGGGGCUCUUUAUGACCUUGCGCUAAUAGAUGAGCCUAAUGCAGAUUAGCUAGUUGGUGGGGUAAAGGCCUACCAAGGCGACGAUCUGUAGCGGGUCUGAGAGGAUGAUCCGCCACACUGGGACUGAGACACGGCCCAGACUCCUACGGGAGGCAGCAGUGGGGAAUAUUGGACAAUGGGGGGAACCCUGAUCCAGCCAUGCCGCGUGUGUGAAGAAGGCCUUUUGGUUGUAAAGCACUUUAAGUGGGGAGGAGGCUUACCUGGUUAAUACCUGGGCUAAGUGGACGUUACCCACAGAAUAAGCACCGGCUAACUCUGUGCCAGCCGCCGCAGUAAAAC